UACGGAGGAUGCGAGCGUUAUCCGGAUUUAUUGGGUGUAAAGGGCGUGUAGGCGGGAGCGCAAGUCAGAUGUGAAAACUCAGGGCUCAACCCUGAGCCUGCAUUUGAAACUGUGUUUCUUGAGUGCUGGAGAGGCAAUCGGAAUUCCAUGUGUAGCGGUGAAAUGCGUAGAUAUAUGGAGGAACACCGGUGGCGAAAGCGGCUCUCUGGCCUGUAACUGACACUGAGGCUCGAAAGCGUGGGGAGCAAACAGG
rnacentral:rRNA from 1 species